AGUCAGGAGAUUGUCUCUGUGCGACAUAUCUGGAUUCACCUCUCUGGUUUAUACAGAAAAGUACCAAACAGCUGGAUUUCAUUUAUAAGAAACUGGAUGAAGACAUUCCUGAGCUGAGGAUGGAGGUAGUCAUCAAAUGGACCAAUUAAAGAUCAGAUGUGACAUAAUAGCAGAGCCGCCUUCCAAGACGCAGGAGGUCUCCAUUCCCCUUUUUUAUAUAUCAACAAAACCUGAUUCUUGGCUGAAUAUGAAGAUGGGAGACAUAAAUGGAAAAGCAGAAAUGUUAAGAAGGAAGACAGAAAUCUUGCAGCAGAGAAACAAUUGAAAAAGCUUAGGCAUGAAAUGAUUACCGAAUGCUCACGGAAAGAAUAGCUCAGACAUAUUCCAGAUUUUUCAUUUACACACGGUUGUAUUCAGGUGUUUUUGUAUCCUGGAAUCAGCCCUUGCCUCCUCUGAACAAAAUGGACUACAGGCAGCCCUCAAGUUAUGAACAAGAUAGGUUCUGUAGGUUUGUUCUUAAGCUGAAUUUGUUUGUAAGUCAGAACAGGUACAUUUUAAAGUGUAACUCCAACUCCAACAACUCCAUGGUGGUGCAAUGCUUUAAACCCUUGUGCCGGUUGAACUGCUGAUCGAAGGCUGGCAGUUCAAAUCUGCGAGACAGGGUGAGUUUCCAUCUGUCAGCCCCAGCUUCUCAUGCAGGAACAUGAGAGAAGCCUCUCAAAGGAUGGUAUAACAUCUGGGUGUCCCCUGAGCAAUGUCUUUGGAGGCAGGUAAUUCUCUUACACCAGAAGCAACUUACUGUAUGUUCUCAAUUCUCUUCUGACACCAUAAAAAACCCAAAUUAUAUGUGUAUAUUAGCUUUGGACACCAUAGGGAAGGGUUAACAUCCCUGUGGUCUUUGUUUUGCUGUCAGAAGAUUUCACCUUACUUUCUGUCCCUGUGAUAAUUGGAUUUUGAUAAAUGUGGCUUGUUGUGGAAACAAGGAUUGGUGAUAAAGUUUCGGCGGA